UGUUAUUGAAUACACCAUUUGAAUCACCUUGACUUUUUAUGCUUGAAUGCAUGACCAUUCUUUUAUAUUUAUUGAAAUUCUUAUCAACCACUGAUGAUUUUGUUAUUACACUUCCAUUUUAAGGUUGAUUUUUACAGACAAUAUUCACUAUAUUAAGGAGUUUGUGUCCCAUCAAUUACUUUGAAUCAUUGUUUGAUAUUUGUACUCAGAAUUUCUUAAAUUAACAUGCCAGAUGUCUUAGGUGAAUUGUUUACUUAUCCCCAACCAUGAUUUUGUUGUUGUCAUAUAUUUUAGGAUUUUUGCAAUGUCAACCGGUACUGAAAUCAUGAGGUAAAUUUUGUCCAUUUGUUCUUUUUGAUUUAUAUUUUUUUUUCUAUUUAGACUUGUUUUAAUCUAUUCACCUAAAAUGGUCCUUUUGCAUUUAUAAACAUAUUUGAAUAAACCAAACUUGUGUACGUAAUAAUGCUCAUAAAGAAAGCAAUCCAAAUGUUGGAUCGAUAGGAUUCAGUAUGACCUAACUUAAUCUUUAAAUGUUUAAUUCCUGUUUAUAUCAUCAGAUGUAGCAUUUGUGCACAUAAAAAUACACCAAGUGUUUACACUUAACCUUUUUACAACAUGCAUUUAUGUCAGGAAAAUUGUGUAUUCCUUUCAUUUACCCGUAAUUUUUUAAUGACAUUUUUUACACACAAU
rnacentral:lncRNA from 1 species